GGGGUAUAGCGCAGUCCGGUAGCGCGCCUGCUUUGGGAGCAGGAUGUCAGGAGUUCGAAU
rnacentral:tRNA from 1 species